CUGUCCUUAUAUAUAUUAUUCUAUAUUCUGCGUUUCCAUCCAGAUUCUCGUGUAUACCAUGAGGGUCCGCAUUGGGGGUAUUGUUUAUUUCUGUAUUUUUUAAAUUGCUAUGUCAUUUUUUCUACAUUUAAUUUAUCUUACUCAUUAUUUUUUCUUUAUUUUUCAUAUUUUGUCAUCCCAAUAUAUUUUACUUAUUGAUGUUUAGUUACAUGACGACGUUUAUCUCUGAUUUAUAUACUGGUUACCAAUGUAGAUGACAAAUUUGUGUCAUUCAUGACAAUUAAACAGAAUCAACAUGAUAUAUGCGAUCAUUCUUGGAUGAAAUUAAUAUCACUUUAAUAUUACACUUUUUGAAACCAUUUUAUCAAUUUUCAAUUGCAUGUGUUGUUUCCGUAUAUGUUAUGUUUCAUUGCUCAUGUGUUGUU
rnacentral:lncRNA from 1 species